rnacentral:snRNA from 1 species
GGAUGUGAGAGUGAUCUGGCUGUGACAUCUGUCACACCACUAAUUGCCAGGGUUGAUUCAGCUGAUCUGGUUGGCUAGGCAGGCAUCCACUUCCUCCUUCAACACUUUAUUUGCCUCCCUACUGAAGCUUAGUUCUUGGCUGGACAGGAUGACCACCCCCCAAUAGAGGAGGACCAUUCUUCUAUCAAGGGUAUAUGAGUAGCUGAGCUCCCCUGCUUGAAACUCCAAACAAGCUCUCAAAGUCUAUUUUAUCUAAUAAAUAGCUUGAAAGUAUAGCUACUCUUAAUCAUUUUUAGUUUUCAUUUGUGUGGAAUAUCU